rnacentral:rRNA from 1 species
CCUACGGGAGGCAGCAGUGGGGAAUAUUGCACAAUGGGGGAAACCCUGAUGCAGCGACGCCGCGUGGAGGAAGAAGGUCUUCGGAUUGUAAACUCCUGUCCUUGGGGACGAUAAUGACGGUACCCAAGGAGGAAGCACCGGCUAACUACGUGCCAGCAGCCGCGGUAAAACGUAGGGUGCAAGCGUUGUCCGGAAUUACUGGGUGUAAAGGGAGCGCAGGCGGCACGGCAAGCCUGAUGUGAAAGCCCGCGGCCCAACCGCGGGACUGCAUUGGGAACUACCGGGCUGGAGUGCCGGAGAGGUCG